AUUGAACGCUGGCGGCAGGCCUAACACAUGCAAGUCGAACGAGUGGCGGACGGGUGAGUAAUGUCUGGGAAACUGCCUGAUGGAGGGGGAUAACUACUGGAAACGGUAGCUAAUACCGCAUACCAUCAGAUGUGCCCAGAUUGGAUUGGCUUGUUGGUGGGGUAACGGCUCACCAAGGCUACGCUCCCUAGCUGGUCUGAGAGGAUGACCAGCCACACCGUAACUGCGACACGGUCCAGACUCCUACGGGAGGCAUCAGUGGGGAAUAUUGCACAAUUGGCUCAAGCCUGAUGCAGCCAUGCCGCGUGUAUGAAGAAGGCCUUCGGGUUGUAAAGUACUUUCAGCGGGGAGGCGUUACCCGCAGAAGAAGCACCGGCUAACUCCGUGCCAGCCGCCGCGUUAAUUC
rnacentral:rRNA from 1 species